CUUCUCCUUCUCUAAUACUCUGCCUGAUCCCCUCUUCCCUCUCCCACUCACGCCGACUUGCCCUUCUCCCUCUCCCUCUCCCUCUCCCUCUCCCUCUCGUGUAGUCGUGCCACCUCGACCGAGAGACGUCGGUGCCCGGCGCUGCCAGCCACCGACGCUGCCCGGCGCUGCCAGCCACCGACGCUGCCAUCCCUGUCUGUUGUUGCCUCCCAUCACCAACGCCCUUUUCCCAUCUCGAGCCCUAACGAUCAUUGCCGAGAUCAAGUUCAACGGAUCGCUCCAAGCCACUGAGCGCCACCCGAGCGCCACCCGAGCGCCAUCUGAACGCUGCCUAUCCAGUCGUCUUCUCCCGAUCUCCACCGUCGGACAAGAUCUCUGUUUCGAUCAGCACCCCCCCUCCGAUUCGCUCGAUGUCGUCGAGCCACCUUCACUGGGUGUUGGGUCUUGGUCAAGAUCAAGCUAGCUACUACCGAGAGGCAGAUUGGCGCUGUGCCCUUGUGUGACUGAGAUGUCAGUCGGAGAUCCGUUACCCCUCCGAAUUUGGAAAGGAAGACAAUCAAUAAUGACCCCAUAUUCUCAUCAAAUCUGAGGUGGAGACUUUCUUCCUCACACUAGCACAUGGGUUCUUCAUUGAACUACUGUGGGGUUGAGUGGAGGGUUUUCCGAUCAUCAGGGCAGCCUAGAUCCUUCAUCUAGCGACUACAGAUUUGGAUUGGGAUUUUGGGAAGAUUGAUCUGUUGUGGCCAACCCUGUUCUAGCUAGAGAUUGAAGGGAAAGGGGGUAUCAAUACCUAUUGGAUAGCAGCGUCAUCUUCUUCCGGCUAUAGUUCGAGUAAUGGGUGAGUCGACAGUGGGAUACGUUUGGAUCUAGAGCUUUGAUUCGAUUUGAAACAGGCUUUUGGACUUGAAGAUAUUCAGCGUGACUUACAUUUGAGGUGGGUACUUCUUUCUUGGCUUCUAUAGUUCUUUGAACUUAGUGCAUAGAUUAUCUUAUUGAUUAAGUUGCUUUAUCUUGACUCCACUCAUAUUUUAUCUCCGUUUGAUACUUUUUUGCUUGAUUUGUUUAUUAUCUAUACAGUCUCAUCUUUGAUUAUUCUUACUCUAUAGUGUACACAUGGGUAUGGUGUGUACUGUAGGAGUUAUCAUGCUAAUUAUGCAUUAUUAGUGUGCACACGUGUAUAGGUAUUACUACGUAUUAUAGAUGUUGUUAGUAGACGCAUGCUAGAUCUUUUCAUAUAUAUAGGUGUAUGUGAUUGAUGGAUCAUGAUUCUGGAUCUAUAGUGUGUUGUGUGUGCAUACAUGUCAAGUGAGUAUUAUUGGAGGUAUCUUGUUGAUUAUACCUUUGUUGUUAUGUGUACAUGUGUCUGCAAGUUCAGUUGGAAGUAUCUUGAUGAUUAUACCUAUGUUGUGAGUGUACAUGUUUGUCGUGUGUACAGGUGGCUGGUGAGUGGUAUUGUGGUAUGUGUAAUAUUAGAAAUAUCUAGUUGAUUAUACCUACGUUGAGUGCCCACACAUGUCAAGUGUGUAUUAUUAGAGGUAUCAUGUUGAUUAUACCUGUGUGGUGUGUGCACACGUGCCUGGUGUGUAUUAUUGCAAGAUCAAGUUAAUUAUAUUGUACCUAUGUUGAGGGAGUUGUUGCAUUGAUGAUCAUUGUAUCGGUAUCAUGGUUAUUUACAUCAUGUUCAUCAUUGCAUUAUAUGCAUGCUGAUGACCAUUGCUCCUUAGUGGUAUGAGCUAGUUUGACGACCAUUGCUCCCUUGCGGUAUGAGCUAGUUUGACAACCCUUGCUCCUUUUCGGUAUGAGCUAGCUUGAUGACCAUUGCUCCCAUGUGGUAUGAGCUAGUUUGACGACCAUUGCUCCCUUGCAGUAUGAGCUAGUUUGAUGACCAUUGUUCCCUUUCGGUAGGAGCUAGUUUGACGACCAUUGCUCGCAUGUGGUAUGAGCUAGUUUGAUGACCAUUGCUCCCAUGUGGUACGAGCUAAUUUGGUGACCAUUGCUCCCUUGCAGUCUGGGCUAAUGACAGUGAUUGUUAUACCUCUAGAUUUGCAUGUCUCCUAUCGACUAGGGCUCCCUCCCGUUGUAGGAUGAGGUCAGAGCUAGUCAACGGUGAGUGUUAUAUUUUGAGCUACCCAUAGUGAUCUAUAGUAGAGUGAUCUCGCGCAGCUCGUAGCUAGAUACAUGCUACCUGUCUGCCCAUAGUGAUCUAUGGUAGAGUGAUCUCGAGUAGACAGGGACCCUGGAAUUUCAGAUUGUCCACAAUGAUCUAUGGUAGAGUGAUCUCACGCAGUCCCUAGCUAGAUAGCUAGAUGUCUUAGUCACUUAUAUUUCUUGUGGUGGAGCGUAGAUCUCACGUAUGAUGGUUUGCCUGUGGUUUUAUCCUUGGAUUAUUAUACCCUAGGUUGCCCACAUUGAUCUGUGGUAGAGUGAUCUCGGCAACCCGUAGCUAGAUAGCUAUUUCCUGUCUGCCCACAGUGAUCUGUGGUAGAGUGAUCUCCCGUAGAUAGACACCUUGACAUUUUGGACUGCUCACAUUGAUCUAUGGUAGAGUGAUCUCGAGCAGUUCCUAGCUAGAUAGCUAGAUGUCUUGGUCAUUGGCAGAUUAUUUGUGGUGGAGCAUUGUUCCCACAUAUUGCGGAUUCUUUGUGGUGGAGCGUUGCU